rnacentral:rRNA from 1 species
CUUUGUACACACCGCCCGUCGCUGCCCGGGACUGAGCCAUUUCGAGAAAUUUGGGGACCGUUGAUUUAGCUUUUUAAAGUUAUUUUUAUGGAAACCAAUUUAAUCGCAGUGGCUUGAACCGGGCAAAAGUCGUAACAAGGUAGCUGUAGGUGAACCUGCUGCUGGAUCAUUACUUUAUGUGAUGUUCAACUUUGAAUUUUCGCGACAUUACUGUUGUGUAACGGCUGUCGCUGGUGUCUAGGUGUAGCUGAUACAGUUGUGAACGUCCGUGACUGUAUAUGAGGUGACAUGUUAGGACUCUAUUAAGAGUUUAAGACUUAAUGAGCCUCUUAAUUGAGGACGCCAGCACUCUUUUUUUCUUUAUAUUUUUUAAAAAAACGAAAAUAUUCUAGCCUUGUCGGUGGAUCACUCGGCUCGUGGAUCGAUGAAGAACGCAGCAAACUGCGAUAAUUUAUGCGAACUGCAGAAACCUUGAGCAUAAAAGUUUUGAAUGCAUAUUGCGGCAUUGGUUCACACCCUUUGUUACGUCUGGUUCAGGGUCAUUAUUAUAAAAGCCAAGGCUUUUAUUUUGUAUUGCUUUUUGCUAGCAUUACAAGUGCUAUAUGACUAUUGGUGAUGUUUUUGUUGAUUAAUUAAUAAUCGCCAAUCAACUCAAUUUUUGACCUGAACUCAGUCGAGAGCACCCGCUGAACUUAAGCAUAUCAGUAAGCGGAGGAAAAGAAACUAAACAGGAUUCCCUUAGUAACGGCGAGUGAA